rnacentral:lncRNA from 1 species
AUGUAUUUAUAAGCAAAAUGAAAUUAUGUUUGAGAAUUUCUUUAAAACAGCCAAAAUAAAAAGAGAUUGAGCAAUACACAGAAAGAAUUGGAAAAAUAUUGAAAAUUGUUGAAGCUGGGUGGUAGGUAUGUGCAAACUCAUUAAUUCUUCUAUUUUUGUGUUUGAAAUUUCCAUAAUAAGUUUUUUUUUGUUUGUUUAUUUGCUUUUUAGGGCCACACCUGGGGCACAUGGAGGUUUCCAGGCUAGGGGUUAAAUUGGAGCUAUACCUGCUUGCCUGCACCAUAGCCACAGCAAUGUGGGAUCCAAGCCACAUCUACAACCUAUACCACAGUUCACAACAAUGCCAGAUACUUAAUCCUCUGAGCAAGGCCAGGGAUUGAACCAACAUCUUUGUGGAUAUGCUGAUCCACAAUGGGAACUCCAAGAUUUUUUUUAAAAAGAAAGAAAAGAUGUGGCUAUUGAUUCAACAAUUAUCAGUGUGUACUUGAGCCAAACCUCAAAAGAGCAUGGAAAUGAAAAUCAGAAGGCUUAGUUUGGGUUGUUUUUUAAUUUAAGCAAGUCCUUCAACUCCUUUUAGACUCAUGAUUUCCUUGUCAUAAAGUUGAAAUCAUAAUGAUAGCUAUCUGCCUCCAAUGACACAUAGGACCAGUAUAAUAUAUGCAAAUGGGGGCUGUAACUAAGAAAGUAUUGUUAAUUAUCUAUCAUUUAUUUAGAAGCAAUUUUAAGAGCUUUCUUUGUGCAAGGCCCUUUCACAUGUGCUGCUCAGUUUUAUCCUCCCAUCUCACCUAUGAAGUUAGCAUUUGAUACACGGGUUUAGUAAACGGAGAAACCAAAGUGGCUGGGUACCGUAGGAUUCUCGGGGCCACAGGUCAAGUGAGCAUUAUUGCAGUGACUGGGCAGUCCUGGCUGGCUUCCACGCCAGGCUUCCUUCAGCCACUCAGGCACACUUCCCGGUUGAGCAGGAAAGUAUGGGCAUCCACCCAGGCCUUCUGAGUGAGCCCCUUGAUGGAUAAUUUACAAUCACAGACCUUCAGAAAUUGUCAGAAGUAGGAAAACCGCAAAGUAGCCUCUAGUAUCUUAUGUAAAAAUACUUGAAAAAUACUGAAAGCCAAAGGACAACUAGAGAGAGUGAAUACAAGUGCGAUAGAACUAAAUAAAACCUUGGAACAGACAGUGCCUUGCUUCCACUGUAGCUGAGGACAAAAUGAAAUUAAUAGCCUUACCGGCUUUAUGGUGAACUUGGUUCCCAAAGAAGCUGAACACUCAGGGAAUAGACGGGCCGUUAGUAGUAUCUUGAAAUCUUAACAAUGCUAAUGAACUUUCCUGUGCAUAUAAGUGAUGCCCCUAAUGACACCCACACUGUGACAUAGACCCUAGGAAAAAUAGUGCUUUAGAAGCCAGGAUUGCCUUAACAAUGCCUUCCUCUAGAGACUAACAUUUACUAAAGCUGUCAUUAAUUCCCAACAUAACGAGUUAACGCACACAGUGCUGGGAAUUACAUCCAAAUUGUGCUUAAAAAACAGGUCAUGUGUAAAUACAGCUAAUGGUAAGAGGCAAAGUGCAGGAAACAAUGCCAGCAUCAGCAGCAUCUUUGACUGCAAAGAAUAACUACAUGACACCAAGCUCAAUUUAAGCCUUCACUCCCACAAGGGUAGUUCUGCAUCACAAAUGAUCUAAGCUAUCAGCUUGAGGGAGCGUCUAAUAAUGAUAGAGGCUAAUAAUGAUAGGGUGUAAGGGUUUAUUAUUUUUUAUUAAAUCAAAUUUAUUAAGUCAAGUUUUAGCAAAUUAUUAACAGCCUCAGCAGUAAAGAAUUUGGAGGGAAGGAAUGAGGGUUUCAGAAUUUGUGAGACCUUUUGAGCUGUUGUAUCCUGGAGCCCAUCUUCACUGUUUGCACAGUUUGAGAGACAUGUUGACCAUGCAUCUGGUCAACCCCAGUAUUUCCUAUUGUGGGUCUUAUGGAGUAGUCUGCUUACUAUCUUUACUGUGCUAGCACCUACUCCUUAUGAUUAGGAUUUCUUUCUUUCCUUGAGAAGAAAAUACAGAUUCAAAGAUCCUGGAAAAAACACAGCUAUGACUACAGAAGAAACAGUGGGAUUACAUAAGGGGAUUAGGGGCCAUGAACAGGUUGAAUACAGGAUGGGAGAUCAGUUUUACUAUUUGUGUGUUGUGAGUAUGCAUGGGGUAUCACACUGUUUGGGAUGGAGGGACUGUUGUAAAAUGAGACAUCCCUUAGAAUCCACUUUACUAUCUCAUUUGACAUACAGAUAAUUUGGACUUUUGUAUUUUGGUGCCAUUUUUUAGCUGAUUUUAUAAGGUACUUGUUCAGUAAGGCAGAGGCCACUGUGAAGGAAUGUAAUUUAAAAAAGAACACUGGGCUGAGAAUUGAGAAGUCUGAGGCUUAACCCCUUUCUAAGCUUAAAUCAUUUAUUUGAGCUUAUCCUGUUUCCUCAUAUAUUUAAUGGAAUGAUUAGACCAUAAAUCAUUAUCGAGGGAUUCCUGUGUUGAGUGAGAUUCGUUGAUUGAUAAGGACCCUUCCAUCUUUAUAUUGCUGUGGUUUAACACAUUAAAAGCUAAAUGAAAUUUUAACUGUUGUUAUAUACUAACACUCAGCCUGUGUUUAUAUCACACUAGCGCAGAUAAUAAAUCAACAUGGCAACUCUCCGAAGAAAGCCAACUCAAAUAACUGACUGAAAUGUCUAUUGAAAAAAUUUUCCCUUUCUCAUUUUUAAUUUUAGACGUGCUGAACAUCAGUGUUACUUGGCAUUUAAUCUAGAAUGCAGUAAUUUAGACCACCCCCAUGUGAAUUAUUCACUCACUAAAUAAUUAAAUCCAUUCUCUGACAAUUUUUCAUAGAAAACUUUUGUCAUACAAAAAUAUGUCUUUUAAAUUGUCACCCAUCCUCCACCAAUAUUAAUAGACAUGGGUUGGACAGAACAUAGGUCAAAGCAGUACUGGUUUCUUAAGAGCAUUAAGUACAGCAAACCCAUUUUUGCCUUUUGGAGUGGCCUGGUUGGGUGUGAACGCUUAAAAAGAAGGGAUGAAUUUACAUAAUUCAGACCCUGAAAUCAGGUGAUGGACAGAAAGAGGUGAAAAGCCUGGAAAGUGAAUCCAGCUCUGUCACUUACAAGCUUUUGACUUUGUUCAACAUAUUAAUCAUUCUGAGCCUUAAUUUCCUCACUUGUAAAAUGGAUACAGUAAUCCAAUGCAAUAAUACAAUGUAAUGAGAGUUAAAUUAGUUAAUGCAUGGGAACAUUUAGAAUAUUCCAUGACAUAGUAAAUGUUCAGUGUAUAUUAAAUAAGACUGUAUAGGCCUAUAAACCUUACAUUUGUAAUGUUUUAUCACCUUUGAAAUGAAGCCAUUACUAUUAUUGUUCCUCAAUGGUGUCCUCUGAGGUCUUGCUUAGUACUGGUUAUGUUAAACUAUCUUAACUAUACAUUUCUCCCUGUGUAUUAGUGUUGACUUUCAUAUUCUGACAACUGUAAAGGAAUUACCUGUGAGACAAAUCUAGUCAACAUUUAUUUUCAUGUAAUUAAUUUUAAAAGUAUCAUGCUUCAAAUAUGUAGGUUUUUCAGGAUUUUUGGUUUUGGUUUUGGUUUUGUCUUUUAGGGCUGCACCCACGGCAUGUGGAGGUUUCCAGGCUAGGGGUCUAAUCGAAACUGUAGCUGCCGGCCUAAGCCAGAGCCACAGCAGUGCAGGAUCCAAGCCGCAUCUGUGACCUACACCACAGCUCAUGGUAACGCCAGAUCCUUAACCCACUGUGCGAGGCCAGGGAUCAAACCCGCAUCCUCAUGGAUGCUAGUUGGGUUCACUAAGCGCUGAUCCAUGAUGGGAACUCCAGGUUUCUCAAUAGCGCUGAUCCAUGAUGGGAACUCCAGGUUUCUCAGUUUUAAGUGGUUGAAUUUUCCAUACUUUAAAUUCUUAAAGUCUCGCCUUCACAUUGGUUGCAUGGACCUGUAGACUGUACACACACACACACACACACACACACACACACUGUACACACACACACACACCCCUACCUACCCACCCACACUCACCAAAUUAAAGCAAGGUAAGUCCUCUGGCACAUAAUUAGUUACAUCUGAGUAAACUAUAAAGCACUGACUUUUUUUUCCUGAAUCUUCUCACCUUAUCAUUCCCUUCUCUCUGUUAUUUAUACAACCUACUAAACUUCUAGAAUUGAAUCUUGGACAAACGAACUUGGACAUUGUGCAAUGUUUCACAAUAGAGAUGUGUUGCAGGGCCGUGUGAGUUUCCUUUGUGUCUAUCAAGUGAUCCUAUUUUAAACACACAUUCUUAGACAGCUGCUUUCUGCCUGUCCAUGGACUAGCUUAGCUCCAGCCAAACAGGAAGGCAUGGUAGGCUCAGGCACUGUGUUUUCGUCCACAGGACUUCUCCAUAAUGUUGUUGCCUGCAGAGACUCAAACAAAGCAAUGGGUGACAGAUAGAACAAACGUUUUGGAGACACAGAAAAGAUGUAACAUUUGUAGAUCCUAACCAGAUGUUUUAUAGGCAUUUAUUUGUUCCCCCUUUUUCCUCUUCCUGCAAAAACAGUUUAAAUUUAAUUAUACACAACAGACUAUAUAAUUACAACAGAUUCAUUAUAUACAACAGAUUCAUUUAUACAACAAAGUGUUGUCAUGUGAGCCCUUGAACAUUUUACCUAAGAGCCAAGAGGUUAGGUAACUGUUUGAAUUCAUAAGGAAAAACAGAUGUGGUUUCAGGGUCUCACACUAAUGGAAUUCAGGCUUUGGGGAAGAGUUGGAAAUCUUGCCUUUCUCUGAAGGUGCCACUCUUUGGUUUGCCUCCUAAUCCAGAGGGCCUAGGCUGAGUGUCUUAGAAAAACAAGUCAAAGUUAUUCAUUCUUCCUGCUUAAAGUUAUUUAGUGAAUUUAUAACAAAGUCAAUAAUGAAUAUUCUCAUUUAUUUGAUAAAUUCUAUUUUGGUAAUACUAGCUAGUAAACCCCAAAGCCAUUAUAUAUAAGAGUGAUUAUAAAUAGUGGACGAUAAAUUUUUCAUGAAGUAUUUUUGCUUUUAUCCAACGUACCAAUAGUUGAAUCAAUUUAUUCUAUUAAAGAUAAAAAAAAUCACUAUGGAAACUAGAAUGUAUGUGAACAAAUUCUACAUCAUAUCUCCUAAUUAUCCCUUGAAAUGCUUUUCCUUCAAUAUUAACUUCAAUGACAAUUCCCAAACAUGUCUGAUUAUUUGUAACUUGGGAUAUUUUAUAGGAACUUGAGGUUUUUUUGUUUUUUUUUUGCCUUUUUUUAAAUUUUAGGGCCACAUCUGUGGAAUAUGGAGGUUCCUGGGCUAGGGGUCCAAUUGGAGCUGUAGCUGCUAGCCUACAUCAUAGCCACAGCAACACGGGAUCCGAGCCAUGUCGGCAACCUACACCAUAGCUCAUGGCAACACCAUAUCCUCAACCCACUGAGCAAGGCCAGGGAUUGAACCUGCAUCCUCGUGGAUGCUAGUCAAAUUUGUUUCCACUGAGCCUCGAUAGAAACUCUAGAAACUUGACUUCUUUGGACCACCUUAAACUUAGGACAUCAGAAUAUUCAAGGAUAGAGUAUGAAAAUAUGUAUUUUUAGAAAUCUUCAAAUGGUUUUGCUGAUUAUCCCAUUUUUGGAAUUACUGAUCCACACAGGAGGUUUGUUAAUUGGUUAUUUGCAUCAAGGCAAAUCGUUCCUGAUGCUUAAUAGCAAAAAGCCAACACUUGAUCCUAGGGUACCCAAGAUUUUGUCUUGGAGCAUGCAUUCACAUUAGGUCUAAAUAAUUUACCACACUGGUAAGAGGCAAAGUUAGAACUCCAAGUUGUCCAGAAACUUGGUCAAAGCAUUCAUUUUCUGCCUCAACAUUCUGAGGCCCAGAAUGAUGAUGGAACAUUUAAAAUGAGCACAUCUGGACUUAAUUUCAGGAACACAGCAUGAACUACAUUUGUGGUCUCCAAUGCCUUCUAGUGAUUGCCAACUUUUUAAUUAUAAAUCUGUACUGUGAAGAAUCUACCCACAUGCAUAUUACCAUUUCCCUCAGUUUUCCUAACAAGGCUUCUCCUUGCCUAUAGGGCCCUGACAUCCCUUUCCUUAGAGCAUUUGUGUUUGAAAACUCAUAAAUUAUUUUUCUAUCUGAAAUGUAAAUCUUUAAAAAAAGCUUCUUGCCAGUUUUGCAACUUUAAACUCUUUCUCAGGGACAUGGGAGUCAUCUUUUUGAAAUAUAAUCCUCAAGAAGCAGAGUGUCCCAAUUUCCCAUCCUCUGUAGAAGGUUAUGAACCUAACUUCCGAGGGUAACUCGCUGUGAGUUGUAAAACUUAUUCCUACCAUGAAGAUGUGAAAACAUUUAGUUUUCCUCUGGGCAAGGAUAAUUACUAAACCCAGGUGUCCUGUGUUCCCCACCUUCCCCAGCUCUUAAAAACUCUCCAGCUCUUUGUUUCAGUGGAGUUUAGCUCAGACUGCAUUCUAGUCUCUCUCCCCUAUUGCAGUAGCAUUGAAUAAAAUCUUCCUUGACUGUUUAACAUUGUCUAAUAUAAUUUGUGCUUUCACGCAGGUACUGGGUGUGUUAUAGUAAUAGUCACUCGUGUAGUAUUCUAGUAUAUUUCAUCUGUUUUCGAAUAAGGACACAGUUUCCUGUUAGCCUUGUAUCUAUUUCUUGGAGGGCAUAUGUGCCAUCUAUCUAAAAGAGAAAUGAGCAUGCUGACUAUAUGUUAGAGUAAUAUACACUAACUGUAUAUGAUAGUAAUAUAUACUCACUAUAUGUAAUUUUAAAAUAUAUUAGCUAUAUAUUACAGUAUGCUAGAUGAUGGAAAGGGCUUUAGCUCCAUAGGUCACUGCCAGGCUUUAUACUAAGUAACUGGAUAGAAGUUAAUACUGCAAGGGUAUUAAAAUGUCUGUUACAACUGCAGAAGCCUGAGCUCUCUAGUCUUCAUCUCUGAUCAGAGAGGGAGGCUUAAAAAUAAGAAAUAAAGCAAAGCCCUUAGGCCUUAUUAAAUUCAUGUACAUAUAGAGAGCAUGACAAAAUUGGUGAGCUCUUCAUCAGUUUAAAAUUGUUGAGGGAAAGUUUUUUUUCAGCCUUAUUUUUCUGUUGAAGCCCAGAAAGUCACAACAGUAGAUCUAUUCAAAUUGAAAAGAACAGAAUAUCAUUCAUUGAUCUUUCUUGGUGCCCAGAUGACUGUGGAUAUCCCAGACGCUAGCUCACAAAAGCAAAAGUAUGCUAAUAAUAAUAAAAGAAAGCUGUGUCUGGGGAGGAGGGGACAAACAUUCAGAGCUAAGGGACACUUUAGAAACCUCAUUAAAUUACAGUCAAGGAUGACGUGUGGUGAAAUAUUCCUUCUAUAGAGGCAUAUUUUCUUUCUACAUCAGUUUGGUAGGGCUGCUGGAACAAAUUCCACAAAGAGUGGCUUAAAAAACAGAAAUUUAUUGUCACAAAGAUCUGGAUGCUAGAAGUCCAAGAUUGAGAUGUCAACAGGGAAAAAAAACAUCAGCAGGCUUGGUUCCUUCCGAGGGUGUAGGAGAAAGUCUGCUCCCCGCUAUCCUCUAGCUUAUGGGUUUGCUGACAAUCUUUGGUAUUCUUUGGCUUGCAGAGGCAUCAUUUCUUUGCCUUCAUCUUCAUGGUGUUUCUCAUGUGUAUGUGUACCUUUGUAUGUAAAUUUCCCUUAAAAAAAAGAUUUCUAUAUUAUAUAUUAUAGUUGAUAUACAGUGUUCUGUCAGUUUCCGCAGUACAGCAGAGUGAUCCAGUCUCUCUUUCUCUCUCUCUCUCACACACACACAUGUACAUUCUUUUUCUCACAUUAUCCUCCAUCAUGUUCCGUGAAAUUUCCCCUUUUUUAGAAGGACACUAGUCAUAUUGGAUUAGGGCCCACCCAAAUGUCCUAAUUUUAACUAAUUAAAUCUACAAAGACUUUAUUUUGAAAUAAGAUCAUAUUCUGAGGUACUUGGGGUUAGAACUUUAACAUAUGAAUUGGAGCAGGGCACAAUUCAACACAUAAUACCUAGGGAUUUAUUUUUUAAAAAAAAGCCUUUUUUGUUCUGGUCAUGUUAAGUUUUCAGUUAGACUAUGAAUGCAGCUCUUUUCUACUUAAAGUGUAGUCUGCAUCAUCCAGAAACUUGUUCAACUUGCAGUUUUUCUGGCCCAACUUUAGGCCUACUAAGCGGGAAGCUGUAUUGAAACAAGAUUUCUGGCUGAUUCACAUUCACACUCAAGUUGGAGAAGUGCUGCUGUAGCCUCAUCGUGUUUCCUUUCCUGGCUGGUUUUGCAAAUAGAUAUGAACUAAGCUUUACUCUCACUUGCAGCAAUUUCUCUUUCUAAACCUUCUCUGUCACAGUUUUUCUCCUCUCAUUCCUAUUCCCUUUUGGUAUGUGAGUCUUAUUUUUGUGUAAAAUAAGUCUUAUUCUGGUAUGUGAGACUUAUUUUUGUUAACAAUUAGCUUUGUGUUUUAUCACAUCUCUUUAGAGAUUAUUAUAUCUGUUCUUUUAUUUGAAAUCACCUUCAGUCAUUUUUUUUUUUUUUUUUCCUGUUUUUGGGCCGCACCUAUGGCCUAUGGAGGUCCUCAGGCUAGGGGGUCAAAUUACAGCCAUAGCUGCCAGCCUACACCACAGCCACAGCAACGCCAGAACCAAGCUGAUCUGCGACCUACACCACAGCUUGCAGCAAUGGACGCCAGAUCCUUAACCCACUGAGCAAAGCCAGGGAUCAAACCCACAUGCUCAUGGACACUAUGUUAGGUUCUUAACCCACUGAGCUCCAAUAGGAACUUCACCUUCAGUCACUUGUAGGAAGGGUACAGAUUAGAGUCUGUCUUCCAUCCCAGCUGUCUAAUAAUAAAGUCUCUUUCCCUUUCAAGGCCUCUGUGACCACUGCUAAUAUCAGCACUGCUCCUGGGCUACUAACUCCAUACCACAGCACAGAGUUGGAGUGGGAAUCUGGGUAGACAUUGGCCAUGUCUCCUGGGUUUUUUGAAACAUUUUAUUUAACUGUGGAGUGAGGAAUUGGUCUUUUAAAAUGGUAUAUUGUCUAGUAGUUUGAUAAUAAAAGAUGUGAGUAGAUGGUUGGUUAAAUGUGUGUCUGGAGUUUUGAUGCAGCAAGGAGAAAAAUAAAUAGUGGUAUUCAUUUUAAAAAGUAGUAUAACCAGCAGAAUCCUGUGGUUGGAAGAGAUGCGUUUUGGGAGUCAAAGAGAUCUGGGCUUGAAUCAGAAUAAUCCAUUCAUUAUGCUUAUGACAUGAGGUGAGAUAGUCAAUCCAUCUAAGCCUCAGAUUUCUCACCUGUAAAAAAAAAAAAA